GUGCAGCAGGCGAGAAAACUUUACAAUGUGCGAAAGCACGAUAAGGGAACUCUGAGUGCCUCCUAAGGAGGCUGUUCAGGUGUCUAAAAAGCACCUGAAGGAAGGGCUGGGUAAGACCGGUGCCAGCCGCCGCGGUAACACCGGCAGCCCAAGUGGUAGCCACGUUUAUUGGGUCUAAAGCGUCCGUAGCCGGCUGGGGUAAGUUCCUUGGGAAAAUUUUGGCUGCUUAAACAGUCAAGCGUUUUCAGGGAAUACUGCCCGGCUUGGGGACCGGGAGAGGUCAGAGGUACUCCA
rnacentral:rRNA from 1 species